GCCAGCGUGAUGUAGUGGUUUGGGCAUUAGACUAUGACUCUAGAGACCAGGGUUCAAUUCUUUGUUCGGCCA